rnacentral:lncRNA from 1 species
AUCAAGGUGAAACUCCGGGGACCAGGCUCCACAGCUGCCAUAAACUGGAUGGCACGUUAGAAGCCGGUGGGUGUAGGGUUUGGAUUCAGGAUUUGUUCCUAGUGUCCAAGAUUUUGAUAAGAAACUUACAGAAGCUGAUGCUUACCUACAAAUCUUGAUUGAACAAUUAAAGCUUUUUGAUGACAAGCUUCAAAACUGCAAAGAAGAUGAACAGAGAAAGAAAAUUGAAACUCUCAAAGAGACAACAAAUAGCAUGGUAGAAUCAAUUAAACACUGCAUUGUGUUGCUGCAGAUUGCCAAAAGUACUAUUAAUCCCGUAGAUGCAAUAUAUCAACCUAGUCCUUUGGAACCUGUGAUCAGCACAAUGCCUUCCCAGACUGUGUUACCUCCAGAACCUGUUCAGUUGUGUAAGUCAGAGCAGCGUCCAUCUUCCCUACCAGUUGGACCUGUGUUGGCUACCUUGGGACAUCAUCAGACUCCUACACCAAAUAGUACAGGCAGUGGCCAUUCACCACCGAGUAGCAGUCUCACUUCUCCAAGCCACGUGAACUUGUCUCCAAAUACAGUCCCAGAGUUCUCUU